CAGUUUCAGCGAAUGGGAAUGCGUUUUCAAACAGGAAGUGGAGGAUUAAAAUGGCUUCGGAAGAGCAGGUCGAGAGUUUAACCGAGGAGGCAGUUUGUCCCAUCUGCCUGGAUUUCUUCACCGAUCCGGUUAUACUGGAGUGCGGGCACAACUUCUGCCGCUCCUGUAUCACACAGAGAGAUCGGAAGAGGGU